CUUGGUCAUUUAGAGGAAGUAAAAGUCGUAACAAGGUCUCCGUAGGUGAACCUGCGGAGGGAUCAUUACACAAAUAUGAAGGCGGGCUGGAACCUCUCGGGGUUACAGCCUUGCUGAAUUAUUCACCCUUGUCUUUUGCGUACUUCUUGUUUCCUUGGUGGGUUCGCCCACCACUAGGACAAACAUAAACCUUUUGUAAUUGCAAUCAGCGUCAGUAACAAAUUAAUAAUUACAACUUUCAACAACGGAUCUCUUGGUUCUGGCAUCGAUGAAGAACGCAGCGAAAUGCGAUAAGUAGUGUGAAUUGCAGAAUUCAGUGAAUCAUCGAAUCUUUGAACGCACAUUGCGCCCUUUGGUAUUCCAAAGGGCAUGCUUGUUCGAGCGUCAUUUGUACCCCCAAGCAUUGCUUGGUGUUGGGCGUCUUGUCUCUAGCUUUGCUGGAGACUCGCCUUAAAGUAAUUGGCAGCCGGCCUACUGGUUUCGGAGCGCAGCACAAGUCGCACUCUCUAUCAGCAAAGGUCUAGCAUCCAUUAAGCCUUUUUUUCAACUUUUGACCUCGGAUCAGGUAGGGAUACCCGCUGAACUUAAGCAUAUCAAUAAGCGGAGGA
rnacentral:rRNA from 1 species